UCCUCCUUCCCAGCAGCCGUCCCCCACCCCCUCCGCAGCGCCCGGCGGCGCCCCAGGCCUCAGCGCCACGGCCCUCGGAUCCCUCGCGUCGGCGUGCCCAGGACCCAGCGGCCAGCGCCCCCGCCCCUCCCUCCUCCGGUCCUCCUCGCAGCUUGGUCCAAGGCCACGCGCCCAGGCUAGCACAGGUGCCCAGCGCGGCCCCCGACGCCCUCGCUCCUUGCCCAGAGGCGACGCGCGCAGGCGGCCUCUCGGCCAGGCCGCCAGGCGCCUAGGCCCCUGAUUGGCCGAUUCCCUCCCAGCAGGCAACGCUCCCCUAUUACUUGUGUUAAUCUGCAUGCAACAAUGAUUCUUGUUUGUGUGCAACAAUGACUCUUCAUUAAUUGCAGAUUGUGUUUGCUAUAUAUAUUAAUUUUUGCUUGCUGUUAAAUUAAAUUUUAUGUUUGAUUUUUUUAAAUUUGCAGGUACACAGGCGUGCCGUGGGUAUCUGCGGACAGCAGGACCAUUCAGUUUCAGCGGAACCCGCCCGGUGAGCACCUCUAGAAGGAUGGCGCCGAAGCUGUAGACAUCACUCUUAUCGGUAAGUUGGCAUGUCUGCAUGUAUUCAGGGUCAAGGUAACCACAGGUACCUUGAACCACAGUCACGUACUGCUCGUUGUCAGAUGGGACUAGAAUGGAGGCUCCAAAGUCCGACACUUUGGCCAUGUAGCUGUCAUUGAGCAGAAUGUUGGUGGUCUUCACAUCACCAUGUAGAAUCGGGGGAAGAUGCGUAUGAAUGUAGGAAGCGAAGUCCCUCAGCUGCUUCCAUGUGCAAGCUGACGUUGAAGUACCUGGACUGUGAGCACUGCGAGCCGAUGCCGAACGGGUAGAGCAUCUCGACGUCGCCGCAGUGUCUCCGGCACUAAGCCAGGAACAACCGCGAUUUCGGGGGCAUGUUGCGAUGCGACGCAAGAAGCAGUAGAGCAAGGGAGAGCUUCAGGAUCACUUCCAUACUCGUCGGUUGGAGAAUUGAAACCAUGACAUUAUUGUAGCUUAGCAUUCAGCUUAAUCGAUUGGCACCACAAAGAUUAUCGGUCUAGGGGAGGAGCUGAUCUGAUCAUGAAAAGAUGAACAUAAAGCAAACGAUAUAACACAAGUUUGGCAAAUUUCAGCUCAAAGAAUUAUGGAAGUUCAGUUUCGGUGAGCAGAAGUGCCAGAGGAGAUAGUUGAUCUUCCCUCUGAUGCCAAGAACGCUGAAUCUUUGGAGAUUUUGUAACACCCUAAUUUAAAUUUCAGUAUUUAAUAAUAAAUUUAAUUGGUUUUAUUUAAUUUUCUAAAGUUUAUU